AAAUAGUAGAAGGUAAUGAGGGGAGCUUACAAGGUUAUAGUCCCUUAUUUUGAAUACAUAAUUCAGGAACUGGGACUCCACAUAGUCAUGUAGGCAUUUAAAUUGCUAGUAGUUAAUGGAGAAGAUUUCAGGGGAUCUUGAAUGACGGAACUGAUCUUGGUUAGGAUGCCCUUUUGGUGUGGGUGAACCAUAGUCCAUGCAAUGUCAUCUAUUUGGUUCUUGGCUGAGACCUGCCUCCCCACCCCCGCCCCUCCAAAAACCAGCACCACGUUAUAAACAUCAGAUGAACGGGAGAAAAGCAAACAGAAGUUUAAUAGCAUCUAUGCCUCCUGUAUACAUGGUGAUCGAUACCCAGGAAAACUGAGUAACUCCUAGAAAUAACCCAAGCUUCUACCCUAACUACCGCCUCCAGCAAAAGACUUCACAUGUUGGGAGUGGGGAGAAAGGUUAUCAGGCCAAGCACAUACACA
rnacentral:lncRNA from 1 species